UUAUAACCAACAUCACAUUGACAAACACACGAUAAGUACACUAAAUAAUAAUCUAAUAAUUAUUUUAAAAUGUAAUAUUUAUUCCUGUUGUUUCUAAAACAAUUAAGAAAAUAUAAAUAUUUUUAUUUUAGAAAUAAGUUUUCAAAAAUUACAUAAAUAGUAAAUGUAAUAGACCAAUUUUGGUCCUGACUAAAAAAUAAAAAAUAGAGAUUAAAUAAAUGAAAAGUCCAUCAGUCCAAAUAUUACAAAACAGGUCAAAACAAUUACAAUGGCCCAAUACGAGCCCAAAUAAACCUAGACUCCAAAUUGCAUCGGCCCAAACGGCCCAAAAUGCUUUAGAAACAGAAACCCUAGGGUUUCUACUUCUUGCGCCGCAGCCAGGCCCCAACCCGCAGCGCCGUACGCUUCCACGCACGACCUCUGUACGCCCCAGCACCGCUCGUACCUCCACGUCCUCCCUCGUAUCUGCAUGAAGACAAAAACAGCACAACAAAACAGCAAGCAAAGGGAGACGAGCGAGAUUUUUGUAUUUUUCUCUAUUUCUUUUUUCGUUCGGCUAUAAAGCCAUGUGGACUUUGAUUGUAUAGGGGGGAUUUUUUUUACGAACGCAUACAUACUUUUAAACAUAUAUUCAGAAAGAUUAAAGGUGAUUUAUUCAUCAACUUUGGCAUUAUUUUUUUGUUUUUAUUUCUUCCUUUAUUGUGAAUCUACCACGCAAAUAUAAAAAAAGGGGGAAAGGGUUUUCUUACCGGAUUCGGGGUCGAUUUAUUCAUUGUUCGCUUCUCUGGUCCAAGGGUUAUUAGAUCCUUGGGGAUCUAAUUAAAAUCGAGUCAUUAGUGGAGGCGCAUUCGGCGCCGAUGAAGCCCGCUGAUGGACUGUGAGAAAAAGGGGUUUGUGGAAUAUUUUCAAAGUUUUUUUUUUGAGAGAAUCGGCCAAAUGAAUGUUUUAGGGCAAAGUUUUAGUUU
rnacentral:lncRNA from 1 species